rnacentral:rRNA from 1 species
ACUCAAAGGAAUAGACGGGGACCCGCUCAAGUGGUGGAGCAUGUGGUUUAAUUCGAAGAUACGCGAAGAACCUUACCUGGCCUUGACAUCCCAAGAACCCUCCAGAGAUGGAGGGGUGCCCCUUUUGGGGAACUUGGUGACAGGUGCUGCACGGCUGUCGUCAGCUCGUGUCGUGAGAUGUUGGGUUAAGUCCCGCAACGAGCGCAACCCUCGUGUUUAGUCGCUAACAGUUCGGCUGAGCACUCUAGACAGACUGCCUCCGCAAGGAGGAGGAAGGUGAGGACGACGUCAAGUCAUCAUGGUCCUUACGGCCAGGGCGACACACGUGCUACAAUGGACAGGACAAUGAGAGGCAAUACCGCGAGGUGGAGCAAAUCUAUAAACCUGUUCUCAGUUCGGAUUGUAGUCUGCAACUCGACUACAUGAAGCUGGAAUCACUAGUAAUCGUAGAUCAGCCAUGUUACGGUGAAUACGUUCCCGGGUCUUGUACUCACCGCCCGUCACACCAUGGGAGUUGAGUUCACCCGAAGCGGGGAAGCUAAACUGGCUACCUGCCACGGUGGGCUCAGCGACUGGGGUGAAGUCGUAACAAGGUA